UCCCACUUAUACUCACUGUUGCUUCAGUCGGGGAGAACUUCAUGCCUGAGAGGAUGCAGCUGAGUCUGAAUUAUAAAUCAGUCAAAACUUUCAACAAUGGAUCUCUUGGUUCCGGCAUCGAUGAAGAACGCAGCGAACUGCGAUAAGUAAUGUGAAUUGCAGAAUUCAGUGAAUCAUCGAGUCUUUGAACGCACAUUGCGCCCCCUGGCAUUCCGGGGGGCAUGCCUGUCCGAGCGUCAUUGCUGCCCUUCAAGCCCGGCUUGUGUGUUGGGUCGUCGUCCCCCCCGGGGGACGGGCCCGAAAGGCAGCGGCGGCACCGUGUCCGGUCCUCGAGCGUAUGGGGCUUUGUCACCCGCUCGAUUAGGGCCGGCCGGGCGCCAGCCGGCGUCAUCAAUCUAUUUUACCAGG
rnacentral:misc_RNA from 1 species